UAUGGAGGUCUUUGCCGGCGUCAUUGUCAGCUCCUCUUAAAUGCAUUAGCGGAACUUUUGUGGACCGUCUAUUGGUGUGAUAAUUAUCUACGCCGUGGAUGUGAAGCAGCUUUAUGAAGUUCAGCUUCUAAUCGUCCAUUAACUUGGACAAUUUUUGACAAUUUGACCUCAAAUCAGGUAGGACUACCCGCUGAACUUAA
rnacentral:misc_RNA from 1 species